rnacentral:rRNA from 1 species
GUAAAGAGCUCGUAGGUGGUUUGUCGCGUUGUUCGUGAAAUCUCACGGCUUAACUGUGAGCGUGCGGGCGAUACGGGCAGACUUGAGUACUGCAGGGGAGACUGGAAUUCCUGGUGUAGCGGUGGAAUGCGCAGAUAUCAGGAGGAACACCGGUGGCGAAGGCGGGUCUCUGGGCAGUAACUGACGCUGAGGAGCGAAAGCGUGGGGAGCGAACAGGAUUAGAUACCCUGGUAGUCCACGCCGUAAACGGUGGGUACUAGGUGUGGGUUUCCUUCCUUGGGAUCCGUGCCGUAGCUAACGCAUUAAGUACCCCGCCUGGGGAGUACGGCCGCAAGGCUAAAACUCAAAGAAAUUGACGGGGGCCCGCACAAGCGGCGGAGCAUGUGGAUUAAUUCGAUGCAACGCGAAGAACCUUACCUGGGUUUGACAUGCACAGGACGCCGGCAGAGAUGUCGGUUCCCUUGUGGCCUGUGUGCAGGUGGUGCAUGGCUGUCGUCAGCUCGUGUCGUGAGAUGUUGGGUUAAGUCCCGCAACGAGCGCAACCCUUGUCUCAUGUUGCCAGCGGGUAAUGCCGGGGACUCGUGAGAGACUGCCGGGGUCAACUCGGAGGAAGGUGGGGAUGACGUCAAGUCAUCAUGCCCCUUAUGUCCAGGGCUUCACACAUGCUACAAUGGCCGGUACAAAGGGCUGCGAUGCCGCGAGGUUAAGCGAAUCCUUUUAAAGCCGGUCUCAGUUCGGAUCGGGGUCUGCAACUCGACCCCGUGAAGUCGGAGUCGCUAGUAAUCGCAGAUCAGCAACGCUGCG